rnacentral:rRNA from 1 species
UACAGAGGUGGCAAGCGUUGUUCGGAAUUACUGGGCGUAAAGGGCGCGUAGGCGGUUCGUUAAGUCCUGUGUGAAAUCCCCCGGCUCAACUGGGGAACUGCACAGGAAACUAGCGGGCUUGAGUUCGGGAGAGGGAAGCGGAAUUCCGGGUGUAGCGGUGAAAUGCGCAGAUAUCAGGAGGAACACCGAUGGCGAAGGCAGGUCUCUGGGCCACUACUGACGCUGAGAAGCGAAAGCAUGUGGAGCGAACAGG